rnacentral:rRNA from 1 species
GGUUAAGCGACUAAGCGUACACGGUGGAUGCCCUGGCAGUCAGAGGCGAUGAAGGACGUGCUAAUCUGCGAAAAGCGCCGGCGAGGUGAUAUGAACCCUUGACCCGGCGAUGUCCGAAUGGGGAAACCCAGUGUGUUCCGACACACUAUCGUUAACUGAAUACAUAGGUUAACGAGGCGAACCGGGGGAACUGAAACAUCUAAGUACCCCGAGGAAAAGAAAUCAACCGAGAUUCCCCCAGUAGCGGCGAGCGAACGGGGAGCAGCCCGGAGUCUGAAUCAGCUUGUGUGUUAGUGGAACGGUCUGGAAAGUCCGACGGUACAGGGUGAUAGUCCCGUACACGAAAACACACUUGCUGUGAACUCGAAGAGUAGGGCGGGACACGUGGUAUCCUGUCUGAAUAUGGGGGGACCAUCCUCCAAGGCUAAAUACUCCUGACUGACCGAUAGUGAACCAGUACCGUGAGGGAAAGGCGAAAAGAACCCCGGCGAGGGGAGUGAAAAAGAACCUGAAACCGUGUACGUACAAGCAGUGGGAGCACCUUCGGGUGUGACUGCGUACCUUUUGUAUAAUGGGUCAGCGACUUAUAUUCUGUAGCAAGGUUAACCGUAUAGGGGAGCCGAAGGGAAACCGAGUCUUAACUGGGCGUUAAGUUGCAGGGUAUAGACCCGAAACCCGGUGAUCUAGCCAUGGGCAGGUUGAAGGUUGGGUAACACUAACUGGAGGACCGAACCGACUAAUGUUGAAAAAUUAGCGGAUGACCUGUGGCUGGGGGUGAAAGGCCAAUCAAACCGGGAGAUAGCUGGUUCUCCCCGAAAGCUAUUUAGGUAGCGCCUCGUGAACUCAUCUUCGGGGGUAGAGCACUGUUUCGGCUAGGGGGCCAUCCCGGCUUACCAACCCGAUGCAAACUACGAAUACCGAAGAAUGUUAUCACGGGAGACACACGGCGGGUGCUAACGUCCGUCGUGAAGAGGGAAACAACCCAGACCGCCAGCUAAGGUCCCAAAGUCAUGGUUAAGUGGGAAACGAUGUGGGAAGGCACAGACAGCCAGGAUGUUGGCUUAGAAGCAGCCAUCAUUUAAAGAAAGCGUAAUAGCUCACUGGUCGAGUCGGCCUGCGCGGAAGAUGUAACGGGGCUAAACCAUGCACCGAAGCUGCGGCAGCGACACUAUGUGUUGUUGGGUAGGGGAGCGUUCUGUAAGCCGUUGAAGGUGUGCUGUGAGGCAUGCUGGAGGUAUCAGAAGUGCGAAUGCUGACAUAAGUAACGAUAAAGCGGGUGAAAAGCCCGCUCGCCGGAAGACCAAGGGUUCCUGUCCAACGUUAAUCGGGGCAGGGUGAGUCGACCCCUAAGGCGAGGCCGAAAGGCGUAGUCGAUGGGAAACAGGUUAAUAUUCCUGUACUUGGUGUUACUGCGAAGGGGGGACGGAGAAGGCUAUGUCAGCCGGGCGACGGUUGUCCCGGUUUAAGCAUGUAGGCGGAGGUUCCAGGUAAAUCCGGUACCUUUUAACGCUGAGGUGUGAUGACGAGGCACUACGGUGCUGAAGUGAUAAAUGCCCUGCUUCCAGGAAAAGCCUCUAAGCAUCAGGUAACACGAAAUCGUACCCCAAACCGACACAGGUGGUCAGGUAGAGAAUACCAAGGCGCUUGAGAGAACUCGGGUGAAGGAACUAGGCAAAAUGGUGCCGUAACUUCGGGAGAAGGCACGCUGAUAUGUAGGUGAAGCCCCUGCGGGCGGAGCUGAAAUCAGUCGAAGAUACCAGCUGGCUGCAACUGUUUAUUAAAAACACAGCACUGUGCAAACACGAAAGUGGACGUAUACGGUGUGACGCCUGCCCGGUGCCGGAAGGUUAAUUGAUGGGGUUAGCGGCAACGCGAAGCUCUUGAUCGAAGCCCCGGUAAACGGCGGCCGUAACUAUAACGGUCCUAAGGUAGCGAAAUUCCUUGUCGGGUAAGUUCCGACCUGCACGAAUGGCGUAAUGAUGGCCAGGCUGUCUCCACCCGAGACUCAGUGAAAUUGAACUCGCUGUGAAGAUGCAGUGUACCCGCGGCAAGACGGAAAGACCCCGUGAACCUUUACUAUAGCUUGACACUGAACACUGGUCCUUGAUGUGUAGGAUAGGUGGGAGGCUUUGAAGCGUGGACGCCAGUCUGCGUGGAGCCAUCCUUGAAAUACCACCCUUUAAUGGCUGGUGUUCUAACGUAGACCCGUAAUCCGGGUUGCGGACAGUGUCUGGUGGGUAGUUUGACUGGGGCGGUCUCCUCCCAAAGAGUAACGGAGGAGCACGAAGGUUGGCUAAUCCUGGUCGGACAUCAGGAGGUUAGUGCAAUGGCAUAAGCCAGCUUGACUGCGAGCGUGACGGCGCGAGCAGGUGCGAAAGCAGGUCAUAGUGAUCCGGUGGUUCUGAAUGGAAGGGCCAUCGCUCAACGGAUAAAAGGUACUCCGGGGAUAACAGGCUGAUACCGCCCAAGAGUUCAUAUCGACGGCGGUGUUUGGCACCUCGAUGUCGGCUCAUCACAUCCUGGGGCUGAAGUAGGUCCCAAGGGUAUGGCUGUUCGCCAUUUAAAGUGGUACGCGAGCUGGGUUUAGAACGUCGUGAGACAGUUCGGUCCCUAUCUGCCGUGGGCGCUGGAGAAUUGAGGGGGGCUGCUCCUAGUACGAGAGGACCGGAGUGGACGCAUCACUGGUGUUCGGGUUGUCAUGCCAAUGGCACUGCCCGGUAGCUAAAUGCGGAAGAGAUAAGUGCUGAAAGCAUCUAAGCACGAAACUUGCCCCGAGAUGAGUUCUCCCUGAGACUUUAAGUCUCCUGAAGGAACGUUGAAGACGACGACGUUGAUAGGUCGGGUGUGUAAGCGCAGCGAUGCGUUGAGCUAACCGAUACUAAUGAACCGUGAGGCUUAACCUU